rnacentral:piRNA from 1 species
GUAGAUUUUUGUACCAUUUGUGAUCAC